rnacentral:tRNA from 1 species
UCCCUUGUGGCUCAGCUGGUAAAGAAUCUGCCUGAAAUGCAGGAGACCUGGGUUCAAUUCCUGGAUUGGGAA